UUGAAGGUGAUAGCCCUGUUUCUUCCCUGUUUUAGAUCAACCGUUCUUCUUUCUUCCUUGGAGCUGCACUGUUUUGGAUGAACUGGACUAACCCUAGAAGGGAUGAAGGUCAUCUAUGAGGUGUCUCAAGGUGAACCCCGUGGUACCCGGCCAAGUGGCUGGAGGGAAUGGGGUAUGCUCACAAGCUUGUACAGACCAAUUUGUUUCACUCGGACAAGAAUCCCACGAACCUUAAUGUGGCCUUUAA